CCAAAUUGAAACACUGAUUCUCGGCCAAUCACUGAAGUUAAGCAACGUUGAGCCUUGUCAGUACCAAAAUGAGUGAGUGCUUGGGAAUAGCAGGUGCUGUAAU